AAACCGGCCCUUUUCAGGGCCACAAAAUAAUUAUUUUAUAAAAUG
rfam:Oikopleura dioica, whole genome shotgun assembly, reference scaffold set, scaffold scaffold_101